rnacentral:lncRNA from 1 species
GAUAGAGUAUUUAAGGGGCAUGAUAUUUAGGAAGAUAGGAUAUUAAGAAGACAUAGUAUUGAAGGACAUGGUAUUCACAAACAGGGUAUUGAGUGCUAUAUUAUCAAGAAGGGAUGUAUCGACAGUAACAUGGUAUCAAAAAGGUAGGAUAUUGAGGGAGACAUAAUAUUGAGGGAGAAUAGUAACCGGGCACAGGGUAUCUAAUAGCAUGGUAUGGAGAGGGCAGGAUAUUGAAAGGACAUGGUAUUGAUGGAGACAAGGUAUUCUGGAGCAUGA